CUGGACGGUGGGGCAGAACGCGAUUUCCAUUCAAGGCCGUGGCGGAUUGGCGUCGGAGCCGUAGCUCGACUCGUCGGCAAAUUCCUGAUCCGUGGAUCAGUGUCCGUUAACGACGUCAAUGGGCUGGAGUAAAUGAAGAGCUGGGUUGGUGGAUAUGGCUGGCUCAUUCAUCUCGCCCUUGUCGGUCGGGUACUAUCGGGGUGCCCAGGCGGCGACAGCGGCGACUCUUCUAGGUUCGUGAAUCUCUCCUCCGGCGUGGAUGGAGUUCUUGAUGCAGCCGUUCAACAGCAGGACUCUCAUAGAGGAAGUAAACGACAGCAACGUACGCUUGCAGCCUUUGCAUUAUCCUGUGGUGUCGCUGCCGGGCGGCGAUUUGCCACCGGCAAGUUCCUCUAGUGCGGACGCGCAGAUCUGUGCUACGGCGGCGGUGGCGGCGGAGGCAGGGAGUGCAGAUAAGGCGCAAACAUCUGAACGCUCCAUUGAGAAAAUUGAUCCAAAAACGCCUGGAUUGACAUGCAGAGUUAGGAUCGGUGCUGCUGCACCAGGCCGUGCCCCAUGCCCGGAUAGUAUGACAACAUUGGAGAAAUCAGUCCGCGUGUUUGCUGAGGCGCCGGGUGACAAUGUCAUUGUGCCAAAAAUAGGGACCAGCUUUGGCACACUCGGACAAAAUGUAUGCAAGAGAUAGUUUGUGGUUGUGCGGUAUGGUGUCCUAUAUUACCUUGUGCCACUUUUUGCUGUUCUGUCUCUGAUUUAAUGUGAAUGUCAUCUGAAAGUUGUGAAUCACAUGUUGACCAUCGACGAGUUUGAGGAAGCCUGGAAGUUCCUCAUUGAUACGUAUAACCUCAAGACACAUACUUACAUGACACAAAAGUACGAGAUCCGUCACAAAUGGGCAAAACAUUACUUCAAAGGUGUGUUUUGUGCAAAAAAAGACAAGUACUCAACGGAGUGAAAGUGCAAAUCACAUGUUGAAGAACUAUGUUCCAUCGGGGUGCCCUAUGCACAUAUUGAUGAGGAAAUACAUGCUUCUACAGUUUGACAGGGAAGCGGAAGAAAACUACGAGGAGAAGCGGACGAGAAUUGGGAGGCCUCUUCUACGAGCAAACAUGGCUACUGAAAGGCAUGCUGACAAGAUCUACACCUGAGCAAUGUUCAAGCAGUUUGGCAUAGAGUUUACGAGUGUGGUGCUUACAAGGUGGAAGAGAUUGAGAAAGGGAAGCUAUAUGUCGCAAUCCAUACGGAUGCAUGUUGCAGAGAGAAGUGGUGCAGGAUUUCGUACAAGGUGACGGUGUUGGACGGUGAAGAGGAAUUUGAUUAUGAAUGUGGCCAGUUUUCUCACAUGGGAUUGCUGCGCAGCCACGCUCUGAAGGUUAUUGACUUUAUCUAAACAACAGAAAUACCAAAGAAACACAUAGUGAAGAGGUGGACCGGAGACGCCCUGGACAUCCUGGCUCCACAUCUAAGCCAGUACCAGAAGGACAAUGCUAACAGCAACAAUCCAUUUAGUUACAGGCAUUUCACUAUGUACAUGCACGCAAUAGAGCUUGUACGGAUGGGGGACGCUUUUAGGCUUACGAUUGACUGGUUGAAUUAUUCAAAGACUGUGCUGUAGAAAUGAAACCAUUUGUGGAGAUCAGAGACGACCUUGGACUGGAGGACCGCAUGGCUGAAAAUGGGGUGGUUGUGAACUAGUUUCAGGCAGAAGGUGACCAAGUAGGAGUGGGAGUCAAAAUGGCGAGGGUAUUGGAGAACGAUGCUGUCAACUCAGCUAAUGAAUCAGGGAAUAUGAUGGCAUGCUUAUUACCUCCAGCCAAGAGGAAGGAAAUAGGAAGGCCUACAACAAGCAAAGAAAAGGCGCCAUAUCAAGGGCUGAGUAAGAGAACAAGGUUCUGUAUGAUUUGUCGGCGACAAGGUCACAAGCGGACAACCUGCCCUGACCUUGGAGACGUGCCAAAAUAGCCUCGGAAGCUGGGGAGAUGUAAAAAUUGUGGAGUUGAAGGGCAUCGUCAAAACAACUGUCACAAAGCGCCUGAGCUCAGGAUGAAGAUUUGAUCUGGUUAGUGCUUAUGAAGUAGUUUAUUUGUGCUUGUACCUGAAUGUUCAUGAGUUGUCGUGCAUGAAGUAGUUCAGUUGUGUUGUACCUGAAUAAACUGAACCUGUCUGAAUACACCCUCUAUUGAUGAACUUGCUUUGCCUGGGG
rnacentral:rRNA from 1 species